rnacentral:misc_RNA from 1 species
CUUGAUACUCAGCAUGUGUACUGCCGUUGUAAGCAUACCUCUAAAAGAACUAGUGUGCCACUAUGACUAACUACUUAGCUCACAUACAUCAGGUCAAAGUGCAGCCAAUAAGAAGGUGAUGAUGGGUUACAACCUUAAUACAGACUAUAGACUAAGAAAUAAAAAAUUCUUAUGAAAGUGGACUUGGCCGUAAUUAACUAUAAAUUAAAAAUGAAUAAAAUCUAAGACAUGCACACAUCGCCCGUCACUCUACCCAAAAGGGUAGAUAAGUCGUAACAAAGUAGGUGUAAUGGAAAUUGCACCUGUCGAAGUAUAGCAUAUAAAAUGCUUUUUACUUACACUAAAAAUAAAGUUAAUAACUUACUUCGCCCAUUAAAAACAACCUUAUAAAUCAUUUAUAAUAAAAAUAAUUAAAUAAGUUUAAAUAAUUAAUAAGUACAGAAAUGGAAACAUCAAUUAAAAAAAGUAAUUUUUAACAACUGUACCUUGUGCAUUAUGGUUUUACAAGAAAAUAAUUAAAAAUAUAAAUCCCGAAUUCUAAAUGAGAUGUUAAACUGCUGUUAAGAACUCACUAGUAUCUGUAGAAAAAGAUUUAAAAGACAGUUUAACAGAGGCUACAUACCAUCCGCAUAAGAAUAUAGCUGGUUUUCAACAAAUAUUAUACAUUAAAUCAUAUAAUUAAUUUAUAGUGUACUAUUAUUGAGGAUAAGCCCAAUAAUCUAGGCAAUAAUAUACUAAAUCUACCCAUGCCUAAAGGCUUAAAAUCAGCCACUAAAAAUACUUUACCGUAACAAGCUAAGAUAUAAUAAUUAAUAUAAACAUGCUAAAUAAAGUUGAAAUAGUGGAUAAACUAAAUUCUCCACCUAUAAUAUGUAAAAAUAAGUAUUAUAAAAUAUUAAUAUAAUAAUCAAAUAAUUAAGAAUACAUAAAAAAAUAAUAACUAAUUAAGGAACUCGGCAAA